AGAGUUUGAUCAUGGCUCAGGACGAACGCUGGCGGCGUGCUUAACACAUGCAAGUCGAACGGUGAUCUUGAGAGCUUGCUCUUGGGUGAUCAGUGGCGAACGGGUGAGUAACACGUGAGCAACCUGCCCCAGACUCUGGAAUAACCCCGGGAAACCGGAGCUAAUACCGGAUACGACACUGGCCCGCAUGGGUAUGGUGUGGAAAGUUUUUCGGUCUGGGAUGGGCUCGCGGCCUAUCAGCUUGUUGGUGAGGUAGUGGCUCACCAAGGCGACGACGGGUAGCCGGCCUGAGAGGGCGACCGGCCACACUGGGACUGAGACACGGCCCAGACUCCUACGGGAGGCAGCAGUGGGGAAUAUUGCACAAUGGGCGCAAGCCUGAUGCAGCGACGCCGCGUGAGGGAUGACGGCCUUCGGGUUGUAAACCUCUUUCAGCAGGGAAGAAGCGCAAGUGACGGUACCUGCAGAAGAAGCACCGGCUAACUACGUGCCAGCAGCCGCGGUAAUACGUAGGGUGCGAGCGUUGUCCGGAAUUAUUGGGCGUAAAGAGCUUGUAGGCGGUUUGUCGCGUCUGCUGUGAAAAUCCGGGGCUCAACCCCGGACUUGCAGUGGGUACGGGCAGGCUAGAGUGUGGUAGGGGAGACUGGAAUUCCUGGUGUAGCGGUGAAAUGCGCAGAUAUCAGGAGGAACACCGAUGGCGAAGGCAGGUCUCUGGGCCACUACUGACGCUGAGAAGCGAAAGCAUGGGGAGCGAACAGGAUUAGAUACCCUGGUAGUCCAUGCCGUAAACGUUGGGAACUAGGUGUGGGUCUCAUUCCACGAGAUCCGUGCCGCAGCUAACGCAUUAAGUUCCCCGCCUGGGGAGUACGGCCGCAAGGCUAAAACUCAAAUGAAUUGACGG
rnacentral:rRNA from 1 species